rnacentral:ncRNA from 1 species
AGUGAGUGAGUAGUUCGCCGAGUUACUGGAGGGGAUUGUGAUUACUUUCCCAGCAAGCGUUGACUUGUGGGUUCCUCUAGUCGGGGGAAAACUCACAUUUUU